GCUUUGGCGGUGCCGUGUGGCGGGGGAAUGCGUGGGCGGCGAGCGUUUGUCGGGGUUAUUGGUCGUAAAGGGCGUGUAGGCGGCCUGACAGGGCUGCUGUGAAAUCUCGAGGCUCAACCUCGAGGUGUCGGCGGAAACCGUCUUGCUUGAGUCCGGAAGAGGAGAGUGGAAUUCCUGGUGUAGCGGUGAAAUGCGCAGAUAUCAGGAAGAACACCUAUGGCGAAGGCAGCUCUCUGGGACGGUACUGACGCUGAGACGCGAAAGCGUGGGGAGCGAACAGGAUUAGAUACCCCGGUUGUC
rnacentral:rRNA from 1 species